GAUGAACGCUGGCGGCGUGCCUAAUACAUGCAAGUCGAGCGAACGGACGAGAAGCUUGCUUCUCUGAUGUUAGCGGCGGACGGGUGAGUAAAACGUGGAUAACCUACCUAUAAGACUGGGAUAACUUCGGGAAACCGGAGCUAAUACCGGAUAAUAUUUUGAACCGCAUGGUUCAAAAGUGAAAGACGGUCUUGCUGUCACUUAUAGAUGGAUCCGCGCUGCAUUAGCUAGGUGGUAAGGUAACGGCUUACCAAGGCAACGAUGCAUAGCCGACCUGAGAGGGUGAUCGGCCACACUGGAACUGAGACACGGUCCAGACUCCUACGGGAGGCAGCAGUAGGGAAUCUUCCGCAAUGGGCGAAAGCCUGACGGAGCAACGCCGCGUGAGUGAUGAAGGUCUUCGGAUCGUAAAACUCUGUUAUUAGGGAAGAACAUAUGUGUAAGUAACUGUGCACAUCUUGACGGUACCUAAUCAGAAAGCCACGGCUAACUACGUG
rnacentral:rRNA from 1 species